rnacentral:tRNA from 2 species
GGAAAGGUGGCAGAGUGGUCGAUUGCAACGGUUUUGAAAACCGUCGUAGCGAGAGCUACCGAGGGUUCGAAUCCCUCCCUUUCCG